UUAAAGUUUAACGAAUAAACAUGAUCAGACUGAGGUCACAAAUUGCGAAGUUGUUUGAUAUCUCCCGUAGGUCCACCGCAUGGGCAGGCGCAAACAUAUAGUUCACUGCCUACGGAAGCAACAGGUACAAAUACUCAGAGUGGGUUUAAGGGAUAUGAUAUUCCAUGUUUGGUAAUGAUCCUUCCGCAGGUUCACCUACGGAAA
rnacentral:misc_RNA from 1 species